rnacentral:rRNA from 1 species
UACGAAGGGGGCUAGCGUUGCUCGGAAUCACUGGGCGUAAAGGGUGCGUAGGCGGGUUUUUAAGUCAGAGGUGAAAUCCUGGAGCUCAACUCCGGAACUGCCUUUGAUACUGAAAGUCUUGAGUAUGGGAGAGGUGAGUGGAACUGCGAGUGUAGAGGUGAAAUUCGUAGAUAUUCGCAAGAACACCAGUGGCGAAGGCGGCUCACUGGCCCAUAACUGACGCUGAGGCACGAAAGCGUGGGGAGCAAACAGG